GUGGAUUUGUUCUGCUUAGCAGAGGUUAACACCCAAGUGUUGGUGCACUGAGUGGCAGGGAAGUUCUUUGAAAAGCCCUGUGAGCUCAGGGAUCAUUGUAGAGGCCCCUGCUGGAAGAGUCUGUCCCUGCACAUUUAUAGGAUUGCGGUUGAUCAUCUCUCAACAGCAAGAGGUUAUGGAAGAGAAAUCUGAAGAGAAAGAUGAGAAAAAGGUGGAGAAAUCCUUCACUUCAAAUGAGAUUAGAGAAAUAUGUAAAAUGUGGGAAACAGUCCAAAAUUUUGUAGAAAACACCACCCAAAUAAGUCCAUAGUGGUGCAAAUGAUGAAAUCUGCUGAACAACAAUGCAAUGUCACAUUCCUCCAAAAUACUCAAAAGCAGCCAUGAAGGUUUUCAAAGAUAAUGAACUGGAUUGGAGCAGGAGAAGGACCUCAGAUAUGUGAUCCAUUUGGAAGAUGUUAAAGAUUAUUCAAGAAGGGGACAUAGUUGCCUAAAGUUAGGGUCAGAAAAUGGUGGAAUUUGAGAACAUUUAAUAAGUAGAUAUUUAAAAGAUCUGAUAGGAAGAAAAGGGGCAAAGGGGAAGGGGAAGUGGGCGGGGUAAAGGAAAGGAAAGGAAAGAAGGGAAUGGAAUUAAUAUGAGAAAAUGGAAAAAUGGAAACAAAAUCUUUGUAAAUAGGGAGGGAUGGAGGGGUUGAAGGGAGCACAGAGGAAGGGGGAAAAAUAAGAACCAAGAGAGAUUAUGUAAAGGUGCAAAUUUCCAAUGAUGAAUGUCAUUAUAUUGUAUACCUAAAAUGUACCAAUGAUUAAAAUGAAUUAUUGAUAAUGUGAAAUAGGAAAAAAAGGUCCAAAG
ensembl:lncRNA